ACGGGAUGUUAUCCCGUCGGAAUGUGACUCAAAAUAUGAGUUGAACCAUGAA
ncrna:Methanohalobium evestigatum Z-7303 eL15-Euryarchaeota ribosomal protein leader